GGUGUGAUGGCCGAGUGGUUAAGGCGACAGACUUAAGUUGUCAUUAUCAAUUUACUAUUCUGUUGGAGAGAUCCGCGCGAGUUCGAACCUCGUUCACACCA